CAGUAGCCGCGGGAAUACGGAGGGUGCAAGCGUUAAUCGGAAUUACUGGGCGUAAAGCGUGCGUAGGCGGUUCGUUAAGUCUGUUGUGAAAGCCCCGGGCUCAACCUGGGAACUGCAUCUUAUACUGGGUAACUGGAGUGCAGUAGAGGGUAGUGGAAUUUCCGGUGUAGCGGUGAAAUGCGUAGAUAUCGGAAGGAACACCAGUGGCGAAGGCGGCUACCUGGACUGAGACUGACACUGAGGCGCGAGAGCGUGGGGGGCAAACAGGAUUAGAUACCCCAGUAGUCCCUGUCUCUUAUAC
rnacentral:rRNA from 1 species